rnacentral:tRNA from 1 species
UCCCGUGUUGCUCAGUUGGUAGAGCGUGGCACUUGCAACAUCAGGGUUGUGGGUUCAAUUCCCACUGGGGGAC